rnacentral:rRNA from 1 species
ACGGCGAGUGAAGCGGCAACAGCUCAAAUUUGAAAUCUGGCGCAAGCCCGAGUUGUAAUUUGCAGAGGAUGUUUCGGGUGAAGCCACGGUCCAAGUCCCUUGGAACAGGACGUCAUAGAGGGUGAGAACCCCGUACCUGGCCGUCGGUGCCCCCCGCUGUGAAACUCCUUCGACGAGUCGAGUUGUUUGGGAAUGCAGCUCUAAAUUGGUGGUAAAUUCCAUCUAAAGCUAAAUACCGGCCAGAGACCGAUAGCGCACAAGUAGAGUGAUCGAAAGAUGAAAAGCACUUUGAAAAGAGAGUUAAAAAGUACGUGAAAUUGUUGAAAGGGAAGCGCUUGCGGCCAGACUUGCCCGCGGUUGCUCAGCCCGCCUUUUGGCGGGUGCACUCUUCCGCGGUCAGGCCAGCAUCGGUUUGGGCGGCCGGAUAAAGGCGUCGGGAACGUGGCCUCCCCUCGGGGAGGUGUUAUAGCCCGGCGCGCAAUGCGACCAGCCCGGACCGAGGUUCGCGCUUUGCUAGGAUGCUGGCGUAAUGGCCGUAAGCGGCCCGUCUUGAAACACGGACCAAGGAGUCUAACAUCUAUGCGAGUGUUUGGGUGUCAAACCCGUGCGCGUAAUGAAAGUGAACGGAGGUGGGAACCGCAAGGUGCACCAUCGACCGAUCCUGAUGUCUUCGGAAGGAUUUGAGUAAGAGCAUAGCUGUUGGGACCCGAAAGAUGGUGAACUAUGCGUGAAUAGGGUGAAGCCAGAGGAAACUCUGGUGGAGGCUCGCAGCGGUUCUGACGUGCAAAUCGAUCGUCAAAUUUGCGUAUAGGGGCGAAAGACUAAUCGAACCAUUAGCGGGAGCGUGACUGUAACGGUUGUUAUACGGGGCCUACUCCCCUGUAUUGAUAACAACCCGUACAGACUACUA